AGGCGCUGCUGGAGGGGGAAGUGAGCGGGAGGGGGCAGUGGGGGCUGGUGCCAGUGGACUCAAGAGGGGGCAACAGAAAGUGACAGAUAAAGGGUCCUGAACCUGUCAACGGCUAUUUCAGGGUUUCUCAGAGAAUCCUUAGUAGUAGUCAAGAGGUAGGGGAGGAAAUGGAGAUUCCUUAAGACGAAGUUUCUUGGAGCAGAGAUGACAAAGGGAAAGCCAGUUUGGUUCAUUGAAUGGAAACAGAAAUGUGCGUCUUUUGGGGUGCACUCUGAGCUAGUCUUUGGGGGUCAGAGAAGGGCUUUCUCCUUAAGGAGCUCACAGUCCCAGGAAGGGCCGAGCUGUCAGUCGGGGUUCUGGGGUUCUCUUCCUGGGACUCCCUUCCUGCAGCAUUUCAGGGCUCUAACCCCAUGUCGAGGGUUUUCUGUGCAUCCAGCUCUGUGUCUCCGCCGUCCUACUGAUGGCCUGUCCCUGUUUCCUCAGGGGAGCUCUACUUCCUGGCCACCGCCUACCCCAGCGCCUACGCUCCGCACGGAUCGAUUUACAAAUUUGUUGACCCAUCGAGGCGAGCACCUCCUGGCAAGUGCAAGUACAAGCCAGUGCCGGUGCAAACCAAGAGCAAGCGUGUCCCGUUCAGGCCGCUCGCCCGUGAGUCUGUCUCUGUCCCGGGCUCAGGCCCUGGCCUUGAGGUGCUGGCACGGUGCCCUCUGCAAACACGCUUGCAGUCCUCCCAGGGUGGGAGGUCUGUUUCCCGCCGAGGGCUUCUGCUCUGGAUGGGGACUGUGACCAUGGCUCGGUCUCUACGUCUCCGCAUUGCCGAGUGUAUACAUGUGCUUCUGCUGUGGUUCUCCGUCUGUCCAUCAGUUUGUCGGGCACUAUUCAUUCAGCCCUGAGUUUGCAGCAGUCACUGUGCUAAUCCCUGGGGCUACCGCAGUGAACCUGACCUGGAGGAGCCCAGAGUUAAAUGUAGUGCAGGCAAAUGGAGAAAUAAAUCUAACACUGAGGUCCUGGUAGAGAAGGAUGCCAAGGGGACGGAGGGACUCCUAGAGAGGGCAGAGGCAGGGUGGGCAUUCAGGAAGGGCUGAUAGAGGAGGGAGAGUAACUAUUCCAGAGCCAUGGAUCACUGGAGUGAACUUAUUAAAAGCAGUAUAUUUAGGUCAAGGCCAGUCAUGGGGCUUGAACUUAUAACCCCGAUAUCAAGAGUCACAUACUCUACCACUAAGCCAGCCAGGGGCUCCUGAAAAGAAUUUAUAUGACACUAAGCCAGCCAGGGGCUCCUGAAAAGAAUUUAUAUGAAAGAACCCUCCUAUAGUUGUGGGUAUCCUGCGUGGUGUUUCCCUUAGGGUUACUUGCCAGGAUUUCUGUUUCUCACUAAAUAAAUGUUUGUUUCCCAGAGACAGUCUUGGACUUACUAAAGGAGCAGUCGGAGAAAGCUGCUAGAAAAUUCUCCAAUGCAACUUUAGCCUCCAGCCCAGAGCGGGCAUCGUCUCAGAAAGGCCCCUCCAAGGAGCCAGCUUCUCCCACAAGCAGCAGGAAGGCGUCUCAAAGGCCUGGUACCAAGAAGAGAGCCAGAGUGUUGUCCCCAGGCCCCCAGGGCAAGAGGAAGCCAAGCCCAAAACCCCCCAGGGGCCGGGUCCAGAGGUCAGCACAGCCAAGGCGAGCUGGCAGAAGUCUCCCUCGGCCUCUUCUGUCAGGGUGGCUGACCAGGGCACGUGCCAGGGGAGAACCACAUCGCCACGUGGAAGCUGCUCGUUGGGUUGCUGAACGUGGGCAUUAGCUGAAUGGGAGGCAGAGCUGGAGGUGGGGCAGGUAGAGGGAACUUGACUUAGGGCUGGAGCAGUUGUCCUCUCUGCAGGAAUCUUGCUAUCUAAAUGGAGGGGUGCUCCUCCUCUGCUUCUGCGGAGGCAUCGGAUCCCACAGCGCCAGGGUGCUGGGCUAACCUCGGGCAGUGGUUAGCCUUGGACUCCCACUGCACCUUCUCUCAUUUCAUAAAUGCCUACAACUUUAAGGUAAUAAAUCAAUAUUUGCUCCAUCGGUCCUGUAUCCU
rnacentral:lncRNA from 1 species